rnacentral:ncRNA from 2 species
ACAAAUAAUGGCGAUGGAGCUCGCCAUAACCGCCCUUGGGCUAAUGGCUCCUACCUAGAA